rnacentral:lncRNA from 1 species
GCCAAUUUAGGAUUUUUGGUUUUUGAGUUACAAAAUUUAUUGAUUUUGUUCAUUAGGUCAAUUUAGGUUAUCGUUUUAAUUUUUUUUUAAUUUUUAAUGUGUUCCUUCUUGUUAAAAUAAAUUAUUUUUUUAUUAUUUUACUAUUCAUUUUGUACAGCCCAAUUUUAGCCCGGGCCAACACCAAAUGAACCCAAACCAAAUUAAAAACAAAAAAACAGCCCAACUCCAAAACCCUAACAGCCCAAUAGGGCCUAAAAACUAAGAAGUAUCAGGGAACCCUAGGGUUCCCUCCUUUCCUUUGCGCCGCUGCCUCCAUGUGUGGUGUCAACGCGCCCAUCGCCCGAGGUAGCCUCCCUUACACCAAAACGGCAAAGGUUUCUGCCCGUUGACCCCAUGACCUGCAAGACAAAACAAAAGAAAAGGACAGAGACAAGAACAGUAGAGGCAACAGAAGUGAAAAGUAAAAGAAAAAAAAACCAUUUUGUAAUCGGCUAUAUAAGCCAGAAACCAAACGAUGUAAUGGGGGGAAUUUUCUUUAAAAAAAAAUCAAUAAAAAAAAACAGAAGCUCAAAAGAUUGUUCUAACUUCUUUUAGAUCUGCUCUACUUUGUUUUCUUUUCUUAUUUUUCUUCAUUUUUUCUUUUAAACCUGUUCUAAAACACGUAAUAAAGAAUCAAAUAAAAAAGGAAAAGGGUUUCACCUGAAUCAGCCUGCAAUCCGUUGGCGUCGAACCCGUGUUCGGGGGGGGGGGUCGAAAUCUUCUUUUCUCUCGGCCUCUUGGCUUAAUAAAAAGGGCUGGGCUUUUGAGCGCCCCGAAAGCCGGGGUCGAAUCGCCCUUUUGCACAAUGCCAGCCAUUGGUUACGGUGGCGCCGCGACGGUGCUCACGGCGGGUACCAGGCCGGAGAAGGAAAAGGGGGAGGGGUUAGAGAGAACCCCUAUAUUUUUUUCUGAAACAAGA